GUCGGAAUCCGGGAGGACCAUCUCCCAAGGCUAAAUACUCCCUAGUGACCGAUAGUGAACCAGUACCGUGAGGGAAAGGUGAAAAGCACCCCGGAAGGGGAGUGAAACAGUUCCUGAAACCGUGUGCCUACAAGUAGUUAGAGCCCGUUAAUGGGUGAUAGCGUGCCUUUUGUAGAAUGAACCGGCGAGUUACGAUUUGUUGCAAGGUUAAGCGGAAAAAGCGGAGCCGUAGCGAAAGCGAGUCUGAAUAGGGCGCAUAAGUAACAGGUCGUAGACCCGAAACCAGGUGAUCUACCCAUGUCCAGGAUGAAGGUAAGGUAAUACUUACUGGAGGUCCGAACCCACGCACGUUGAAAAGUGCGGGGAUGAGGUGUGGGUAGCGGAGAAAUUCCAAUCGAACUUGGAGAUAGCUGGUUCUCUCCGAAAUAGCUUUAGGGCUAGCCUCGAGGUAAAGAGUCAUGGAGGUAGAGCACUGUUUGGACUAGGGGCCCUUCUCGGGUUACCGAAUUCAGAUAAACUCCGAAUGCCAUGUACUUAUACUCGGGAGUCAGACUGCGAGUGAUAAGAUCCGUAGUCGAAAGGGAAACAGCCCAGACCACCAGUUAAGGUCCCCAAAUAUAUGUUAAGUGGAAAAGGAUGUGGGGUUGCUUAGACAACCAGGAUGUUGGCUUAGAAGCAGCCACCAUUGAAAGAGUGCGUAAUAGCUCACUGGUCGAGUGACCCCGCGCCGAAAAUGUACCGGGGCUAAACAUAUUACCGAAACUGUGGAUGAACCUCUUUAGAGGUUCGUGGUAGGAGAGCGUUCUAAGGGCGGUGAAGUCAGACCGGAAGGACUGGUGGAGCGCUUAGAAGUGAGAAUGCCGGUAUGAGUAGCGAAAGAAGGGUGAGAAUCCCUUCCACCGAAUAUCUAAGGUUUCCUGAGGAAGGCUCGUCCGCUC
rnacentral:rRNA from 1 species